rnacentral:rRNA from 1 species
UACGAAGGGGGCUAGCGUUGCUCGGAAUCACUGGGCGUAAAGCGCACGUAGGCGGGUCUUUAAGUCGGGGGUGAAAUCCUGGAGCUCAACUCCAGAACUGCCCUCGAUACUGAGGAUCUCGAGUCCGGGAGAGGUGAGUGGAACUCCGAGUGUAGAGGUGAAAUUCGUAGAUAUUCGGAAGAACACCAGUGGCGAAGGCGGCUCACUGGCCCGGUACUGACGCUGAGGUGCGAAAGCGUGGGGAGCAAACAGG